UGAGAACCCAAAAGAUCGAAUGAGGAGAUUCAUCGUCAAAGUAUUUGGUAUUAGUGCAAUUUAUGAUGUAGUAAAUAAUCCUCGUGGUUAGUAUAUUAUACAUUCUUGUACUAUUUUGCUAGGUACGUCGGCGUGCACUUCUCCUCUAGUAGAACGUCGCGACCCGUUGGAUGUUGAUCUAUGGUCUAAAUGGUUGCCUUUGAUUUUGCUUGCAUUGUCGGAGACCUUUAGUAUCCUGAUCAUCUGUUCGACGGUAUACAUAUGGUGUAAAGUCGCUUGUUAUAUGCGUUAAAUCCGCUGCAAGUGUGGUUAAUAAUUCGGCAGUAUGGAUCUGAUGCCAUCGCUGAUUUUGACUCACUGUUAGCAUGUGGUAUUCUUUAACUGACUUAAUACCGGUCAGCGAUGCUACUGCUUUGGGUACUUUCAGGACCCGUCUUGAAACA
rnacentral:rRNA from 1 species